UNGGAGAGGAAAGUGGAAUUCCUAGUGUAGCGGUGAAAUGCGUAGAUAUUAGGAAGAACACCAGUGGCGAAGGCGACUUUCUGGACGAAAACUGACGCUGAGGCGCGAAAGCCAGGGGAGCGAACGGGAUUAGAUACCCCGGUAGUCCUGNCCGUAAACGAUGGGUACUAGGUGUAGGAGGUAUCGACCCCUUCUGUGCCGGAGUUAACGCAAUAAGUACCCCGCCUGGGGAGUACGACCGCAAGGUUGAAACUCAAAGGAAUUGACGGGGGCCCGCACAAGCGGUGGAGUAUGUGGUUUAAUUCGACGCAACGCGAAGAACCUUACCAGGUCUUGACAUUGAUGGACAGAACUAGAGAUAGUUCCUCUUCUUCGGAAGCCAGAAAACAGGUGGUGCACGGUUGUCGUCAGCUCGUGUCGUGAGAUGUUGGGUUAAGUCCCGCAACGAGCGCAACCCCUAUCUUAUGUUGCCAGCACUUUGGGUGGGGACUCAUGAGAGACUGCCGCAGACAAUGCGGAGGAAGGCGGGGAUGACGUCAAAUCAUCAUGCCCCUUAUGACCUGGGCUACACACGUACUACAAUGGGAGUUAAUAGACGGAAGCGAGAUCGCGAGAUGGAGCAAACCCGAGAAACACUCUCUCAGUUCGGAUCGUAGGCUGCAACUCGCCUACGUGAAGUCGGAAUCGCUAGUAAUCGCAGGUCAGCAUACUGCGGUGAAUACGUUCCCGGGCCUUGUACAC
rnacentral:rRNA from 1 species